rnacentral:rRNA from 1 species
AAAACUUUACAAUGCGGGCAACCGUGAUAAGGGAACCUCGAGUGCCUGUAUAUGCAGGCUGUCCAGGUGUCUAAAUCACACCUGAAGAAAGGGCCGGGCAAGACCGGUGCCAGCCGCCGCGGUAAUACCGGCGGCUCGAGUGGUGGCCACUUUUAUUGGGCUUAAAGCGUUCGUAGCUGGGUUGUUAAGUCUCUUGGGAAAUCCGACGGCUCAACCGUCGGGCGUCUAAGAGAUACUGGCAAUCUUGGAACCGGGAGAGGUGAGGGGUACUUCGGGGGUAGGA